rnacentral:rRNA from 1 species
AUUGAACGCUGGCGGCAUGCUUUACACAUGCAAGUCGAACGGUAACAGGCCGCAAGGUGCUGACGAGUGGCGAACGGGUGAGUAAUGCAUCGGAACGUGCCCAGUCGUGGGGGAUAACGCAGCGAAAGCAGCGCUAAUACCGCAUACGAUCUAUGGAGGAAAGCGGGGGACCGUAAGUCCUCGCGCGAUUGGAGCGGGCGAUGUCAGAUUAGGUAGUUGGUGGGGUAAAGGCUCACCCAGCCGACGAUCUGUAGCUGGUCUCAGAGGACGACCAGCCACACUGGGACUGAGACACGGCCCAGACUCCUACGGGAGGCAGCAGUGGGGAAUUUUGGACAAUGGGCGCAAGCCUGAUCCAGCAAUGCCGCGUGCAGGAAGAAGGCCUUCGGGUUGUAAACUGCUUUUGUACGGAACGAAACGGCUCUGGUUAAUACCUGGGGCUAAUGACGGUACCGUAAGAAUAAGCACCGGCUAACUACGUGCCAGCCGCCGCCGUAAGAC